CGGGGAGUAGUAUAUCGGUCGUACGCACGCUUCGGGUGCGUGUAGGCCGGGUUCGAUUCCCGGCUCCCCGA
rnacentral:tRNA from 1 species